AUGGGAACGCGAAGAACCUUACCUACUCUUGACAUCCAGAGAACUUAGCAGAGAUGCUUUGGUGCCUUCGGGAACUCUGAGACAGGUGCUGCAUGGCUGUCGUCAGCUCGUGUUGUGAAAUGUUGGGUUAAGUCCCGCAACGAGCGCAACCCUUAUCCUUUGUUGCCAGCGGUUAGGCCGGGAACUCAAAGGAGACUGCCAGUGAUAAACUGGAGGAAGGUGGGGAUGACGUCAAGUCAUCAUGGCCCUUACGAGUAGGGCUACACACGUGCUACGAUGGCGCAUACAAAGAGAAGCGACCUCGCGAGAGCAAGCGGACCUCAUAAAGUGCGUCGUAGUCCGGAUUGGAGUCUGCAACUCGACUCCAUGAAGUCGGAAUCGCUAGUAAUCGUAGAUCAGAAUGCUACGGUGAAUACGUUCCCGGGUCUUGUACACACCG
rnacentral:rRNA from 1 species